UGGUUCUGGCAUCGAUGAAGAACGCAGCAAAAUGCGAUAAGUAAUGUGAAUUGCAGAAUUCAGUGAAUCAUCGAAUCUUUGAACGCACAUUGCGCCCCGUGGCAUUCCGCGGGGCAUGCCUGUUCGAGCGUCGGUCGAUACCCCCUCCGCCCGGUGCUUUUGCUGCACCUUCAGGCGGGCCUUGGACGUUCUUCUCGCUGGGCACCCCGGCGGGAAACGCUUUAAAAAAGUUGGCGGCCGCGUUGGGCUCCAGACGUAACGGAAACAAAACGUUUGUGAGGGCUUGACGUGUGCCGAUGCACACAGGGGUGAGAGACCCUCUGUCGACCUUGUUCUGACCUCGGAUCAGGUAGGGAUACCCGCUGA
rnacentral:misc_RNA from 1 species